GACGAACGCUGGCGGCGUGCUUAACACAUGCAAGUCGAACGGAAAGGCCCUGCUCUUGUGGGGUGCUCGAAUGGCGAACGGGUGAGUAACACGUGAGUAACCUGUCCCUGACUUUGGGAUAACUUCAGGAAACUGGGGCUAAAAUCGCAUAGGAGCUCUUGCUGCAUGGGGGGGGUUGGAAAGAUUGGGCGGUUGGGGCUGGACUCGCGGCUUCUCAGCUUGUUGGUGGGGUAGUGGCUUACCAAGGCUUCGAGGGGUAGCCGGCCUGAGAGGGUGAACGGCCACAAUGGGACUGAGGUACGGCGCAGAAUCCUACGGGAGGCAGAAGUCGGGAAUAUUGCAGAAUGAGGCGAAGCGUGUUGCAGAGGCGCCGCGUGCGGGAUGACGGCCUUCUGGUUGUAAACCGCUUUGGCCUGAGACGAAGCGGGAGUGACGGUAAUGGGUAAAGAAGCACCGGCUAACUACGUG
rnacentral:rRNA from 1 species